UACGUAGGGUGCGAGCGUUGUCCGGAAUUAUUGGGCGUAAAGAGCUCGUAGGCGGUCUGUUGCGUCGGCUGUGAAAACCCGGGGCUCAACCCCGGGCCUGCAGCCGAUACGGGCAGACUAGAGUUCGGCAGGGGAGACUGGAAUUCCUGGUGUAGCGGUGAAAUGCGCAGAUAUCAGGAGGAACACCAAUGGCGAAGGCAGCACUCUGGGACGUGACUGACGCUGAGACGCGAAAGCGUGGGGAGCAAACAGG
rnacentral:rRNA from 1 species